rnacentral:rRNA from 1 species
UACCCUGGGGGGGGCCCGGGGGUUUUGGUUGGUGGGGGGGUACCGCUCACCAAGGCAAUAAAAGAAGCGAAAUGAGAGGUUCCUCGCCCCCUUGGGACGGAGCCCCGCCCCAAAUUUCUAGGGGAGGCAGCAGUAGGAAUUCUUCCACAAUGGACGCAAGUUUGAGGAGCAACGCCGCGUGAAGAAAGAAUGCUUUCGGGUCGUAAAACUCCGUUGUUGGAGAAGAAUGGUCGGCAGAGUAACUGUUGUCGGCGUGACGGUAUCCAACCAGAAAGCCACGGCUAACUACGUGCCAGCAGCCGCGGUAAUACGUAGGUGGCAAGCGUUAUCCGGAUUUAUUGGGCGUACAGCGAGCGCAGGCGGUUUUUUAAGUCUGAUGUGACAGCCCUCGGCUUAACCGAGGAAGUGCAUCGGAAACUGGGAAACUUGAGUGCAGAAGAGGACAGUGGAACUCCAUGUGUAGCGGUGAAAUGCGUAGAUAUAUGGAAGAACACCAGUGGCGAAGGCGGCUGUCUGGUCUGUAACUGACGCUGAGGCUCGAAAGCAUGGGUAGCGAACAGGAUUAGAUACCCUGGUAGUCCAUGCCGUAAACGAUGAAUGCUAGGUGUUGGAGGGUUUCCGCCCUUCAGUGCCGCAGCUAACGCAUUAAGCAUUCCGCCUGGGGAGUACGACCGCAAGGUUGAAACUCAAAGGAAUUGACGGGGGCCCGCACAAGCGGUGGAGCAUGUGGUUUAAUUCGAAGCAACGCGAAGAACCUUACCAGGUCUUGACAUCUUUUGAUCACCUGAGAGAUCAGGUUUCCCCUUCGGGGGCAAAAUGACAGGUGGUGCAUGGUUGUCGUCAGCUCGUGUCGUGAGAUGUUGGGUUAAGUCCCGCAACGAGCGCAACCCUUAUGACUAGUUGCCAGCAUUUAGUUGGGCACUCUAGUAAGACUGCCGGUGACAAACCGGAGGAAGGUGGGGAUGACGUCAAAUCAUCAUGCCCCUUAUGACCUGGGCUACACACGUGCUACAAUGGAUGGUACAACGAGUUGCGAGACCGCGAGGUCAAGCUAAUCUCUUAAAGCCAUUCUCAGUUCGGACUGUAGGCUGCAACUCGCCUACACGAAGUCGGAAUCGCUAGUAAUCGCGGAUCAGCACGCCGCGGUGAAUACGUUCCCUGGCCUUGUACACACCGCCCGUCACACCAGAGAGUUGUUACAUUUAAAGCCGCUGGGGUAACUAAGUAGGGACAGAGCACUGUAAUAGAGUGCCGUCC